AUUGAACGCUGGCGGCAUGCCUUACACAUGCAAAUCGAACGGUAACGGGCCUUCGGGUGCCGACGAGUGGCGAACGGGUGAGUAAUACAUCGGAACGUGCCCGAUCGUGGGGGAUAACGAGGCGAAAGCUUUGCUAAUACCGCAUACGAUCUACGGAUGAAAGCAGGGGACCGCAAGGCCUUGCGCGGACGGAGCGGCCGAUGGCAGAUUAGGUAGUUGGUGGGAUAAAAGCUUACCAAGCCGACGAUCUGUAGCUGGUCUGAGAGGAUGAUCAGCCACACUGGGACUGAGACACGGCCCAGACUCCUACGGGAGGCAGCAGUGGGGAAUUUUGGACAAUGGGCGCAAGCCUGAUCCAGCCAUGCCGCGUGCAGGAUGAAGGCAUUCGGGUUGUAAACUGAUUUUGUACGGAACGAAAAGCCUUCUUUUAAUACAGGAGGGUCAUGACGGUACCGUAAGAAUAAGCACCGGCUAACUACGUG
rnacentral:rRNA from 1 species